rnacentral:rRNA from 1 species
GACGAACGCUGGCGGCGUGCUUAACACAUGCAAGUCGAACGCUGAAGACCUGGCUUUUGUUGGGUUGGAUGAGUGGCGAACGGGUGAGUAACACGUGAGUAACCUGCCCUCUUCUUUGGGAUAACGCCCGGAAACGGGUGCUAAUACUGGAUAUUCACUGAUCUUCGCAUGGGGGUUGGUGGAAAGGUUUGUUCUGGUGGGGGAUGGGCUCGCGGCCUAUCAGCUUGUUGGUGGGGUGAUGGCCUACCAAGGCUUUGACGGGUAGCCGGCCUGAGAGGGUGACCGGUCACAGUGGGACUGAGAUACGGCCCAGACUCCUACGGGAGGCAGCAGUGGGGAAUAUUGCACAAUGGGCGAAAGCCUGAUGCAGCGACGCCGCGUGAGGGAUGGAGGCCUUCGGGUUGUAAACCUCUUUCGCUCAUGGUCAAGCCGCAACUGUGGGUUGUGGUGAGGGUAGUGGGUAAAGAAGCGCCGGCUAACUACGUG